AAAAAAAAAAAAAAAAAAAAAAAAAUAAUAACAUUGCAUCCAUAGGCCGUUAUUAAUGGAGCUACUGCAAGUAUUGGCGAAGAUGGGCACAAAAACUUAAAAUUCAAUAUCCAUUAUCAGAUCACCAGUCCUGAGCUGCAGUAUGUGCUACCUGCCAACCUACCUGCAAAAGUACCAGUACUUUCUAUGGAGGCAUUAUAAUAAUUUUGAUCGGUUCUUGAAGAUGGUCUUGUGCAAACAUUUGUAUUUUCAAGCCUUGAAACUUGUUUCACAACAUUUAAAUCUAUUCUUAACAACUUUGUUUCCUGACUUCAUCUGAACUGGAUCAAAAAGUACUAAGAAGUUUCAAAAGCUCAAGAUUGUCAAAAUCGGUAAGUUAAUAGAUUCUGAAAACCAAAUGUUCGGGCGAGACUUUUCUUAUACCUUGUUUAUCGAACCCGCCUACUGCAAAUAUUGAUAUUUUUAAAAUAAAAAUAAAAUUUUAUUUUUGAGCAAUUAGCGCACCCACCACCACAAAAAAAAAAA
rnacentral:lncRNA from 1 species